rnacentral:tRNA from 1 species
GCCCCUAUAGCUCAACGGAUAGAGCAGCGCUCUUCUAAGGCGUUGAUCCGGGUUCGAUUCCUGGUGGGGGCA